AGGCAUCGUCUCUCUCCAUGCUGCUGAUCUACUAUUACUACAACAAAAUAAAAAUUCCCCACCUUGACCUAGAUGAACUCCGCCAGAUUCCGCCGCUUUACGGGUGAGCUCGAGCACCGCUUGCCCGAGCAGUCGAUUGUCUCGAGCUCGCCACCACUGAUCAAGCGCCUUGCCGCUGAGUUGGAGCUGAUGCAUGGUUCAGCUCGUGCAAAUUAAUCAAUGUCCAGCUGCAUCAAAGUGCAUGAGCUUGGAUCGAGAAGGUCCAUGAUGUGAUCGAUGCUAACAUCGUCAAGUAUUACGCCAACCUGUGGAUCCAAUCCAGCCCGUGUGACUUGAUUUUGUUCAGCCAUCAGAGGGAUCUGUGGACUCAGCAGGAUUUGAUGAUGAUGAUGAUGAUGAUGAUGGGGGCAGAAGUAUCAUCCAAGAAUGCGAACGUACCGCAUGUUCCUGUAUUCUGCAAUUGUGAUGGCAUUGGUUCAGGAAUCGGGAGUUCAUCAUGGUGCCAAGAUUUGGGAGAGUUCUUGUUAGUGUGGAGACGCAAUCUGUGUAGAUGAAAAUAAAACAACUGUGUAUUUGUACUUAUGUACCGCUCUAAUCCUUUUUCCCGCCAC
rnacentral:sRNA from 1 species